UACGUAGGUGGCAAGCGUUGUCCGGAUUUACUGGGCGUAAGGAGCGCGCAGGCGGUCGUUCAAGUCGAGUGUGAAAGCCCCCGGCUCAACUGGGGAGGGUCACUCGAUACUGAUCGACUCGAAGGCAGGAGAGGGAAGUGGAAUUCCCGGUGUAGUGGUGAAAUGCGUAGAUAUCGGGAGGAACACCAGUGGCGAAGGCGACUUCCUGGCCUGUUCUUGACGCUGAGGCGCGAAAGCUAGGGGAGCAAACGGG
rnacentral:rRNA from 1 species